rnacentral:rRNA from 1 species
UGGGAAUUUUGGACAAUGGGGGCAACCCUGAUCCAGCAAUGCCGCGUGUGUGAAGAAGGCCUUCGGGUUGUAAAGCACUUUUGUCCGGAACGAAACGGUGAAGGCGAAUAACCUUUGCUAAUGACGGUACUGGAAGAAUAAGCACCGGCUAACUACGUGCCAGCAGCCGCGGUAAUACGUAGGGUGCAAGCGUUAAUCGGAAUUACUGGGCGUAAAGCGUGCGCAGGCGGUUGUGCAAGACAGAUGUGAAAAUCCCCGGGCUUAACCUGGGAACUGCAUUUGUGACUGCACGGCUAGAGUGUGUCAGAGGGGGGUAGAAUUCCACGUGUAGCAGUGAAAAUGCGUAGAGAUGUGGAGGAACACCGAUGGCGAAGGCAGCCCCCUGGGAUAACACUGACGCUCAUGCACGAAAAAGCGUGGGGAGCAAAACAGGAUUAAUACCCUGGUAGUCCACGCCCUAAAANGAUGU